rfam:Myotis davidii contig26192, whole genome shotgun sequence.
GGCAGUUCUCGGGUGACACAUCCUGGAAUCGGGCUCCCUCCUCUCUCAUUCUGGGCGUGUCACCUGAGAACCACA